GGGGGGAAAGGAGCGGGGGGUGGGAAGCGCCCCUCGCUCCCGGAGCCGCGCAUCGGCCAGCCCGGAGCCGCUCACCACUUGCAGCAUCUGGGGGCUGCUCCUCGCAGUUGAUGUGCUGGGGCUUCGCCUGCUUCCGUCGCGACAUGGUGCACCAGCAUCGGGAGCGUGCAAUAGUAGCAAUUAUUUUCCUCUUCACAACAAAUUCCUAGAGUUGGGAAAUUUGGGCGGAAUGCGCAUGUCAGAGUAAUUAUGAUUAUCAAUAAUGCAUUGCGAUUUAUCAUGUGUCCCUGACGGCUGAUUGGCCUGAGUCCAAGGGCUCGCAGAUUAUUCAAAUCAGCCCCAUUGAUCCGCGCAGCGGGGCACGCUGGGCCGUGUAGUCCCCGGCGGGCGACAAAGGCGUGAGCCCCGCGGGGCCGGGCCAGCCCCGGGCCACCCCCGCUAAACAAACAGCCCGGCUCAUCCAGCCUGCACACACAGCGUACCUUUGGUGCCUCACCUGCGCGCUUUAAAGAGUUUUUCCCCCCCGCUGUCCCCUAAAGGGAGCCCGAGCCCGGGACAAGGCGCGUUCUCGCUUUGUCGCUGGCGAAGGUGGCGAAGGGAAGCGCUCCGAGGGGCUCCCGCCGUGCGGUGCCCGGUGCAGGGGCUUUAAAAGCGGAUGCAGACCGUAAUUAGGCUGCUUUGCUUCAGCUGUUUGAAGACUCUUUAAAGUCUGCCUUUCGGGAAGCGGGCGAAGCUGAGCCCGUGGGGUUGCGGACAGCGAGUGCAAACGUGGGGCUCCCCUGGAAAUCCCCUGGGAAAGCUGAAACAACAGCGCUUGGAGCGUUCCCCAAAACCGGGAAAAGUCCAGAGGAACAAUCUUCUGCCACCAACAGAGCUGCAGCAUGGUGGCUGAUAGGCGAAUUUCCAGGAGCAGCUGGCGCAGCUCGCGGUGAUAACAGGAGAUUUUUUAACGCCCUGCCUCAGCAGCACGUGGAACUCCUGCCACCAGGAGCUGUGGAACUCCUGCCACCAGGAGCUGUGGAACUCCUGCCACCAGGAGCUGUGGCCAGCAGCUGGCUCUGCCCAGCCCUGGGGCUUCCUGUCCUCCAGAAUGUCGCUGCAAAAUGGUCUCAUCUGUGGAAAAAUCCGAUGGGGUGUUUGCUGAAUGUGUCUUGUGUGUGUCUGUGCACACUUAGUGGCUCCCAUGUAAAGGACAUUGUCUCAAAUCCUGCGCUGGCUCCUCCAACAAGCUCAGUUUGUUGCUGGGAAGAACACACAAGUUUAAAGCUUAAGCCUUUUUUUAUGUAUUCAGAAUCCAAAUGUAACUAAAAACAUUGUGUUACCUACAUCUUGAGAGCCUGGAGAGCCACAAAAGCUCUUUGAGGCACAGCAGUUCAGUUGGCUGAGGUAUUCCUGCCCUGCUCCUGCCUGCAGCUCCCUGCCAGACAAACCUCGCAGUGCAGGCUCCCAGGGCUCACCUCCACUGCCUGCAAGACUCUGGAAGUUCCCUGUUGGAACAUGUUAAGGGAGCUGCAGGUUGCUGAUAUCAAGUUGACCAUAGCUCUGCAGGCAAUGUAAAUCAGGGUGAUUAACAUUUGUUGUUGGGCCAGUUAAUCAAGGUUGAGUGCAGAGACCCAGACAUUCAAAUUCAGAAGCAGUUCCUAAGGGUGUUAAAUUGAAUGUUGGCAAGGGCAGUGACUCCUCCAGACUACACUCUAUCCCAAUCCAAACCCAGGAGACUCCUCUUUAAACACCUGUUAUUCCAUUAUAACGAUGGUAAUAGAAGGAUGUUUUCCCUCCUGUAUAGCAAAAUAAAGUUUAUGUUUUCCCUCA
rnacentral:lncRNA from 1 species